rnacentral:rRNA from 1 species
AGAGUUUGAUCCUGGCUCAGAACGAACGUUAGCGGCGCGCCUAAUACAUGCAAGUCGAGCGAGAAAGGGAUUCGUCCCCAGUAAAGCGGCGCACGGGUGAGUAACACGUAGGUAAUCUAUCCUCGGGUGGUGGAUAACAUUCCGAAAGGAGUGCUAAUACAGCAUAACACCGCAAGGACAAAGCGGGCCUCUCUAUAGAAGCUCGCGCCCGAGGAUGAGCCUGCGGCCCAUCAGCUUGUUGGUAGUGUAAAAGACUACCAAGGCUAAGACGGGUAGCUGGUCUGAGAGGAUGAACAGCCACACUGGAACUGAGACACGGUCCAGACUCCUACGGGAGGCAGCAGUAGGGAAUCUUGCGCAAUGGGCGAAAGCCUGACGCAGCGACGCCGCGUGAGUGAUGAAGGCCUUCGGUUGUAAAGCUCUGUGGGGAGAGAAGAAUAAGUGCAAGCUAAUACUUUGCACGAUGACGGUAUCUCCUUAGCAAGCACCGGCUAACUCUGUGCCAGCAGCCGCGGUAAGACAGAGGGUGCAAACGUUGUUCGGAAUCACUGGGCGUAAAGCGCGUGUAGGCGGCUUCUCAAGUCGGGUGUGAAAUCCCAGGGCUCAACCCUGGAAGUGCAUUCGAAACUGGGUAGCUAGAGUACUGGAGAGGAAGGUGGAAUGCUUGGUGUAGAGGUGAAAUUCGUAGAUAUCAAGCGGAACACCGGUGGCGAAGGCGGCCUUCUGGACAGAUACUGACGCUGAGACGCGAAAGCGUGGGGAGCAAACAGGAUUAGAUACCCUGGUAGUCCACGCCGUAAACGAUGAGUGCUAGAUGUCAGGAGCUUUGACCCUCUUGGCGUCGCAGCUAACGCAAUAAGCACUCCGCCUGGGGAGUACGGCCGCAAGGCUAAAACUCAAAGGAAUUGACGGGGGCCCGCACAAGCGGUGGAGCAUGUGGUUUAAUUCGACAACGCGCAGAACCUUACCUGGGCUAGAAAGCGUAAGAACCCCGGUGAAAACUGGGGGUGCCCUUCGGGGAGCUUACGAUUAGGUGCUGCAUGGCUGUCGUCAGCUCGUCUCGUGAGAUGUUGGGUUAAGUCCCGCAACGAGCGCAACCCUUGUUGUUAGUUGCCAGCAUUAAGUUGGGCACUCUAACAAGACUGCCGACCUUUAAGUCGGAGGAAGGUGGGGAUGACGUCAAGUCCUCAUGGCCCUUACGUCCAGGGCUACACACGUGCUACAAUGACCGGUACAAAGGGUUGCCAAACCGCGAGGUGGAGCCAAUCCCAAAAAGCCGGCCUCAGUACGGAUAAGAGUCUGCAACUCGACUCUUUGAAGGCGGAAUCGCUAGUAAUCCCUGAUCAGCAUAGCAGGGGUGAAUACGUUCCCGGGCCUUGUACACACCGCCCGUCACACCAUGGGAGUCGACUGCUCCAGAAGUGGCUGAGCCAACCCGCAAGGGAGGCAGGUCCCCAAGGAGUGUUCGGUAACUGGGGUGAAGUCGUAACAAGGUAGCCGUAGGGGAACCUGC